AGGACGAACGCUGGCGGCGUGCUUAACACAUGCAAGUCGAGCGAGGCCCCUCCUUCGGGAGGGUGUCCUAGCGGCGAACGGGUGAGUAACACGUGGGCAACCUGCCCUCAGCUCUGGGAUAACCCCGGGAAACCGGGGCUAAUACCGGAUACGACCUCCUCGGGCAUCUGAGGUGGUGGAAAGUUUUUCGGCUGAGGAUGGGCCCGCGGCCUAUCAGCUUGUUGGUGGGGUGAUGGCCUACCAAGGCGACGACGGGUAGCCGGCCUGAGAGGGUGACCGGCCACACUGGGACUGAGACACGGCCCAGACUCCUACGGGAGGCAGCAGUGGGGAAUAUUGCGCAAUGGGCGAAAGCCUGACGCAGCGACGCCGCGUGAGGGACGAAGGCCUUCGGGUUGUAAACCGUCUUUCAGCAGGGACGAAGCGAAAGUGACGGUACCUGCAGAAGAAGCACCGGCCAACUACGCGCCAGCAGCCGC
rnacentral:rRNA from 1 species